rnacentral:lncRNA from 10 species
CCAGUCAGGAACAGCCUAUGAAAUCAUUCAUUAUCUCUCUUUAGUGUCCUCUGCUCUUCUUGGCCGCAGCUGGGGAUCCUACAGGAAGCAGAGCCAAAGGUAAUGAAAGCCUCCAAGGAAGUGGCUACAAUUGUGGCUUCAAGGGCACCUCCUGCAUGGGGCUUCCACAGAUUGGGCAACCCACGUGGUGACGUGAGUAAAGUGAUCCCAAAGCAUCACUUGAAGUGUAGUGUCUUUAUGGCCUGAAAACACCGUAAAUAAGAAAGAUUUCCUGAACGUUCUGCUGAAAUGUGGUGAUAUUUCAAUUCUAGUCAAUAAGCACUAUUCUUAGUAUUGGGAUACAUCAAUGAACAAGAGACACUGUCUAUAACCUCAGGAUGUAAGAAGGAAAACAAAUCAGCGAGAAGAUACUGCCCCUUACCCCCGCUUAAAGAGGAGACACAGAUGCCCUGUGAACACCUACCAGUUGGCUGACACCUGGGGCUCAGAUAAGUCCUCUCUGGCCCUAGUUUCAUUUCUUUGAAUGAAACAGCUCUAUGAGAGCUCUCUUCAGAGUUUAUAUGUUCUCGACACUGUUCCUAGCCAGUGGCAAUGAAUAAAUCAACCUAUACUAAUUGAAAAUUAGCUGUGGGCAAACCACAGUAUGAAACACUCCUGGGCACCAUGGAGGAUUCCAGAAAGGCUUGGUCCUUGCCUGUAAGAAACUAACAAUCGAAUAAUGAAAAUAAACAGAAACUCUUAACUCUUAA